UAGGAGCCUUCUCAAGAUUUUGAUCCAAUGCUAAGGAUGGAGUCCAACCUUCCUGUGACACUUCCUUGAUUUACGGUUGUGGUGUUUUUCAAAUAAUGAUUGUUGCUGUGCCCACUGGACUUUAUGGCCUGGCUGAUUUUAUAAUACUCAGCUCACGAUGGGCAGCUCUGGCCCCAUAGUCAUCUGGUAUCGCAGAGAUGAGGUGUUGAAAGUGGCCAUCGAGAAGACGUGACUGCCGGUUGACCCUCGAGCUGCACCUGGGCAAUCAGACGUUCCCCAUCCCCUCCCCUGUCCUCAGAAUGUAUGUUCUGCCCAUCAUUCCCACAGCGGGAGCCAAUUUCAAGGAUGGACCCUUGAGAGAGCAGUGUGUUGUUAAGACCAUCUGGACAGUAUAUGUGACUGAACCCUAUUAAGACCUCUGUAUGUUUUUAAGAUUCUGGCAGGCGGGUGCGGAAAUUUACUCUUCUUGUGGCCGUGCAAGACAAGUCUUCAUGUAAGUUCCCUUGCUUCUUAAACCUACCACCUACCAAUA